rnacentral:miRNA from 10 species
CCGGACCGGAGCGGAGUCUGGACCGGAGUCCGGAGCGGAGCAGGGUCCGGACCGGAGCGGAGCGGGGUCC